ACAACUUUCAACAACGGAUCUCUUGGUUCUGGCAUCGAUGAAGAACGCAGCGAAAUGCGAUAAGUAGUGUGAAUUGCAGAAUUCAGUGAAUCAUCGAAUCUUUGAACGCACAUUGCGCCCUUUGGUAUUCCAAAGGGCAUGCCUGUUC
rnacentral:rRNA from 3 species